ensembl:lncRNA
UGUUAUUCUAGUUGUUUGGAUUGAAGCUGGAGGAGCAAAAUAUUCUUCUGCUAAAAAAAAGAGAAAGUUGGGGGAGGAAAAGCAACUGCUGGCAUUUGUGGCUGAGCAGCCCCAGGUCUCUCAAAGGGAGACGCUCCAAUCCCCUCAUCAUCUCUGGGGCCCUCUGCUGGACUUCCUCUAUAACUUCCCUGUCUUUCUUGAACUGAGGAAACCAGAACUGCACGCAGAACUCCAAAGGUGACCUCACCAGGGCAGUGUGGGAGGAUGACCUCCCUCUAUGUGCGGGCCGUGCUCUUAUUUAAUGUACCCCAGGGUACCAUAGGAAGAUAGAAGACACAAUUAUUAGAGCCAGGAGUAGGCUCCUCAAGGCCUUGGAUAGAGGCCAAGAUAUACUCUUCUCUGUUUACACCACAAUUUGUUGAUUUUCACCAUUGCUUCCCAUGAUGCCAGGCUCAAGUCGUUGCACUUGUUAUUUAUAGAACACUAGGAAUGAACAGAAACCUCCAAAAAAAAAAAAAGGCAAAUAAAAGGUGUUUGUUCUUGUCCUUCCAGUUCUACCUUUCUUUAUCUUCCUCAUAACAUGAAUGUAAGCUAACAUACUUUCCAGGUAUGUACAGGGGUUUGAAACAGGAUUGUUUGUUAGCCCUAAUAAUCCAUUUCCUGUUGGCUGCCUGGGAGUCUGAAAAAUUAAUCUUCCAUUCCAGCACAGACCAAGACCCAGUGUACAUACCAAAGUGCUUGAACACUUCCACUCCUUAGCUCCCAGUAUUUCUUCAGGCUCACCUCACUGCUUUGAGAAGAAAUUGUGUUGUCAGCACAGUAAAAAUUAGCAUCCGCUUCACAGUGCCUUUGCAACAGCUUCUACAGCUCUGCAUUGACAAUCAUUAUUGAACACCACUGAUGUUGAAAAAGACGAAUAAUGAGAACUGCUAACUUGGAGGUAACUGCUGACCUACCAGCCCCCAAAAACAGAGCUCUUGAACAGCCACAGGCCUCAACUGUUCGCUGUUCACAUUCAUGUUGUGCUGCACGGCUUUCAAGAAGAGACAAUGGCUUAGCAGCUGUGAUGAUUGGCUACUUUUGGCUACUGCAUCAUUUUGUAUUUCCAAGAUAUGCUUUUUUAUUAUUUAUUUAUUUAUUUAUUUACAAUUUCCUUUUCUUUUUUCUUCCACUUACAGAAUAAAAUAUUGGCUCCAGGAAAUUCAAUAGGAGAGUUCCCAUUGAUUUUACCUAAGCCAGAAUGUCAACUUCAUGCUGGAAACUGUGUUAGCAAAACAAAGAUUUCAAAAAGAAGUAGCAUCCUCUACAACAGCAGCUGACAUAGGUAGUAAAAACAGGUAACCUUUUGGGUGCACAAGCAUUGCAGUUCAUAUUGCAUUAGUUUUAAUAUUUGCCUGAAGCUAAAAUAUACAUGAACAUAACCUGAACCCAAUAGGGCAAAUAUUUUAACUAAUCCCCAAAUUAAUAAUCUUUUUUCAGAAGUAACACUGAAAAUACACUCAUCUCGGUCUUCCAUUUUUAGGUUGAAACUCAUGAAGCACAAAGCUUCACCACAGCCAAAAUAUUGGAAAGGAAAAUAAAUAAAAUAAAGACUAAAAAUAACACUGUGAUUUGCUUUAGGUUAUUUUCUCUGCCAUCACAGUGCAAAUUGAAAACCAGCUAAGAAUAAAUCUUCAUGUAGAUAAGGGAACAGUAGUCUCCCAUGCUCCAGUGUGCUUUUUAGUCCUGAUUUUCCAUGUUCCUUGCAAGCAGUUAGGAGCAAAGAUCAUGAGUUCAGAUGGCUGGCUGUGUGCACACUUUCUUGAGUUUGAAUUCCAGUGAGGAGAACAGGAGCAGAGAAAAACAUGGAUAAAUGCGUGUUAUAAUUUUAAACAAAACUUCUUAAAACUAGGCAUGGUUGCUAAGUAACAAAAACAUACUUAACCUUUUCUAAUGAUUAACAAAACUCAGAAUUCACAGGAAUCAAAUAGCAAAGGAGUUUUGCAGACAUUCCUUUUUUCAGGGGAGUUUUCCAGGCUGCUUACAGUUUUUACUCUUCUAAAAUUUGCAUAGAAAAAAGGGAGGAAAUUAUCCAGAUUAAUGGGAAAAAAAAAAAAAAAAAGGAGGUGUUAUUCCCAUGGAAUACUAACAAGUGUUAUUUGUCUCUCAAAGUGUUCUUUUUCCUGAAUGAUACUCCCCCUGAAAUAAGAUUUGUGUGUGAAGGUAGUUAGUUUUAGGGUAGAGGCCUAGUUUUGCAAGGUUUAUUUCUCUCAUUGCAAAGACACUGUGCAUAACAUUUGCCUUGACUCUUAAUAGUCAAUCGAUGGUAAGAGUCCUCAAAGAUUUUAUUUCCAGCCAGGUCUUCAUCCUUUUCUCUCAUCAUAAUCACAUACAUUGCUUAAACACUUUAUUAUUUCUGCUCUUGAAAGUUUCCUAUUGCAUGUGCUAAAGUUAAACAGAGCCCAUCUCACCUUCCUAUCUCUAGCUUCAUUUGCAAAGCCUUUAUCAG